GACGAGGGGGGCAAGCGUUGUUCGGAAUUAUUGGGCGUAAAGGGCGCGUAGGCGGUUUGACAAGUCUGAUGUGAAAUCUAUGGGCUCAACCCAUAGCCUGCAUUAGAAACUGUCGGGCUUGAGUAUGGGAGAGGUGAGUGGAAUUUCCGGUGUAGCGGUGAAAUGCGUAGAUAUCGGAAGGAACACCUGUGGCGAAAGCGGCUCACUGGACCAUAACUGACGCUGAGGCGCGAAAGCUAGGGGAGCAAACAGG
rnacentral:rRNA from 1 species